UUAGGGUUCGAUUCCGGAGAGGGAGCCUGAGAAACGGCUACCACUUCUAAGGAAGGCAGCAGGCACGCAAAUUACCCACUGGUCGAAGACCGAGGUAGUGACGAAAAAUAACGAAGCCGGACUCAUCCGAGGCCCGGUUAUCGGAAUGGGUACACUUUAAAUCCUUUAACUAGGAACAAUUGGAGGGCAAGUCUGGUGCCAGCAGCCGCGGUAAUUCCAGCUCCAAUAGCGUAUAUUAAAGUUGUUGCGGUYAAAAAGCUCGUAGUUGGAUCUCGGCGAAUAGGGGAUGGUUCAUUGUUUGAUGUUACUGUCCCAUUUAUUCGUGUUUUUGAUGGAGGUUCCAGGGUGCUCUUAAUUGAGUGUCUUGGAAUGCCAUCAGGUUUACUUUGAAAAAAUUAGAGUGCUCAAAGCAGGCUUUAUAAGCUUGAAUAUUCGUGCAUGGAAUAAUAGAAUAGGAUGUCUUUUCUAUUUUGUUGGUUUUCGGAAAUUGACAUAAUGAUUAAUAGGGACAGUCGGGGGCAUUAGUAUUCAGACGACAGAGGUGAAAUUCUUGGACCGUCUGAAGACUAACUACUGCGAAAGCAUUUGCCAAGAAUGUUUUCAUUAAUCAAGAACGAAAGUUAGAGGUUCGAAGGCGAUCAGAUACCGCCCUAGUUCUAACCAUAAACGAUGCCAGCUAGCGAUCCGCAGUUGUUUUUAUUGUAGGCUCUGCGGGAAGCUUCCGGGAAACCAAAGCUUUUGGGUUCCGGGGGAAGUAUGGUUGCAAAGCUGAAACUUAAAGGAAUUGACGGAAGGGCACCACCAGGAGUGGAGCCUGCGGCUUAAUUUGACUCAACACGGGAAAUCUCACCAGGCCCGGACACUGGAAGGAUUGACAGAUUGAGAGCUCUUUCUCGAUUCGGUGGGUGGUGGUGCAUGGCCGUUCUUAGUUGGUGGAGUGAUUUGUCUGGUUAAUUCCGAUAACGAACGAGACUCUGUCCUGCUAAAUAGUUUCAAYGUCAUUUUUKUKGCAUUGAAAAUUCUUCUUAGAGGGACUGGUAGCGUCUAGCUCCACGAGAUUGAGCAAUAACAGGUCUGUGAUGCCCUWAGAUGUUSUGGGCUGCACGCGCGCUACACUGAAAGGAUCAGCGUGUGUUCCCUGACCGAGAGGUUGCGGGUAACCCGUUGAACCCCUUUCGUGGUAGGGAUCGGGGCUUGCAAUUAUUCCCCGUGAACCAGGAAUUCCCAGUAAGCGKAAGUCAUAAGCUUWCGUUGAUUACGUCCCUGCCCUUUGUACACACCGCCCGUCGCUACUACCGAUUGAACGUUUUAGUGAGGUAUUUGGAUCGAACCUCUAGAGGGCAACCUCUSAGUUGUUCGAGAAGACUCCCAAACUUGAGCGUUUAGAGGAAGUAAAAGUCGUAACAA
rnacentral:rRNA from 1 species